UACGUAGGGUGCAAGCGUUGUCCGGAAUUAUUGGGCGUAAAGAGCUCGUAGGCGGUCUGUCGCGUCGGCUGUGGAAACCCGGGGCUCAACCCCGGGCCUGCAGUCGAUACGGGCAGACUAGAGUGCGGUAGGGGAGACUGGAAUUCCUGGUGUAGCGGUGAAAUGCGCAGAUAUCAGGAGGAACACCGGUGGCGAAGGCGGUUCUCUGGGCAUUACCUGACGCUGAGGAGCGAAAGUGUGGGGAGCGAACAGG
rnacentral:rRNA from 1 species